GGAGCUUCCCUCUACUUUCUAGAUGGGAUGCUGCCUGAUUCAUGAAUCUUAAUAAAAGUGCGAAACUUUCUUGAGUGCCAGGCACUUGUCUGAAUGCUCAGGAGAGACAAGAAAAUGGCCCAGAUCAGUCCCCGUCUCCAUGGACUUCGAAGCUUAAUUGAGAGACCAAACUGCAAGAAAACAAAUCAUAGAACUGAAAGACUGGUGUGUAUGUUGAUGGAGUGACGGAGUGAAGAGGGAAAGCAAGAAAACAUGGUACCCGUAAAGCCAAGCAAAAGAGGCAUUUCCAGUGGAAGGAUGGAUCAGGAACCAGGGCAAUCAGCUGAGGACACGGAGGAGAAGGGGAGCUGGAGAACAAAGAGAGGAGAUAUCUCACUCCUGCCCCACCAUGCUGGUGUGCUCUGUCGGACCUCCGAGGUGCAAGGUGGAACACCGCAGGAAGAGAGAGAAAUGCCAGAUGAUAGAAAGAUCCCCGCCUCCCCUGGUCUCCGGCCUGUUCUGUAUCCGGGAGGCCGGCCUUUGUGGACUGACUCAAUGGGCUCCAUAAACCUGGCUGCCAGUUGGGUUUGGCCAAUGGGAAACCCUGGCAGGACAUCAGAGAGAGUGAAAUUGUGGUGUUUAUUUCUCUCUCCCUGCCAGGUUGCUGUUGUUCAUUCUGUAUUUCUUUAUGGAAAACCCCAGCUCCUGCCAGGUGGCUUUCUCUGCCCCUAGAAGCUCUCUCUCUGGGUGCUGGCAAUCACUUCUUCCCUCACCCCGCCCAAGUCCUGGGGGGGGCAGUCAGCGCUUUCCCUUUGCUGGCCCUGAGGAACUUCACUGUCCCUUCUGGACAUUCUUCUAAAAAGAGUCUCUUUAUUAAACUCACUGCAA